rnacentral:rRNA from 1 species
UAGGGAAUCUUCGGCAAUGGGGGCAACCCUGACCGAGCAACGCCGCGUGAGUGAAGAAGGUUUUCGGAUCGUAAAGCUCUGUUGUAAGAGAAGAACGUGUGUGAGAGUGGAAAGUUCACACAGUGACGGUAACUUACCAGAAAGGGACGGCUAACUACGUGCCAGCAGCCGCGGUAAUACGUAGGUCCCGAGCGUUGUCCGGAUUUAUUGGGCGUAAAGCGAGCGCAGGCGGUUUAAUAAGUCUGAAGUUAAAGGCAGUGGCUUAACCAUUGUUCGCUUUGGAAACUGUUAAACUUGAGUGCAGAAGGGGAGAGGGGAAUUCCAUGUGUAGCGGUGAAAUGCGUAGAUAUAUGGAGGAACACCGGUGGCGAAAGCGGCUCUCUGGUCUGUAACUGACGCUGAGGCUCGAAAGCGUGGGGAGCAAACAGG